rnacentral:rRNA from 1 species
AUUGAACGCUGGCGGCAUGCUUUACACAUGCAAGUCGAACGGCAGCGCGGGCUUCGGCCUGGCGGCGAGUGGCGAACGGGUGAGUAAUACAUCGGAACGUGCCCAGUAGUGGGGGAUAGCUCGGCGAAAGCCGGAUUAAUACCGCAUACGACCUGAGGGUGAAAGCGGGGGAUCUUCGGACCUCGCGCUAUGGGAGCGGCCGAUGGCAGAUUAGCUAGUUGGUGGGGUAAAGGCCUACCAAGGCGACGAUCGGUAGCUGGUCUGAGAGGACGACCAGCCACACUGGAACUGAGACACGGCCAAGACUCCUACGGGAGGCAGCAGUGGGGAAUUUUGGGCAAUGGGCGAGAGCCUGAUCCAGCAAUGCCGCGUGUGUGAUGAAGGCCUUCGGGUUGUAAAGCACUUUUGGCGGGAACGAAAAGGACUGUGCCAAUACCACGGUUCGAUGACGGUACCCGCAGAAUAAGCACCGGCUAACUACGUG